AUGAUUAAAUCGCCUCUUCCUCCUCUCUGCGCCUCUGUUUCCCUCUCCUCCAUCUUUUUCUCAAAAGAAAGAAAGAAAGAAAGAAAGAGGGAUGACCGGAGGGGCAAGAGCCACAUGGGGAAUCACACAGAAAGGCAAAGAAAGAGAGUCAGGCUCGCGUGUAAGGCGAGGAAGGUCACGGAGGGAAAGAGAUCACAGUCCUAUAAUUCAAAAGAGAUAACUCCUAAUGACCUGCUGUACAAACGGAGCCUGGAGAGUGUCCUGACCUUGAAGGAGAUGCUGAAUUCUCAGGAGGGAUGCUCUGUCUGUGUGUUUGUGUGUGUGUGUGUGUGUGUGUGUGUGUGUGUGUGUUGAUGUGUGUGCUUGUGUUUGUCUAUGUGUGUGGGUUUGUUGGGUUGCUCUGAAUGUUUGGCAACUACUGAAGCACAGCCUGAAAGAAUAUAAAGAGAUGGAAAGAUGAAGGGUUGAAACGAGGAAUAUAAAAGUAGUAGGAGGAAGAAUGAUCGAGGACAGGGAGAUAGAUGUUAAAGGUUUUCAGGCCUGUUACUGUAUACACUGAAGAUACUCAAUCAUGGAUCAUCACCAAUCAAAUCUGCUCCAAAUCUAUGCACAUUAAUCUUUUCAUUUUUGAAAGUAUAAAGAAAUCAAUACAUUAAAAAACUGUAGGAUGCUUUUGAAAAUGAUUGGUAGAAAUGCAAAAUGUACAUGAUUUUGAAAAAGUGGUAAGGUCCUUUAUGACUUAUUCCUCUUUUACCAUCACUGAAAAUCUACGUUGAUGCCACUGUUGGCUUAAGUUGAGUUUGUUGUCGUCCCUUAUUGAACAUCCUUCCAGGAGGAAGUCUUUCUGCCUCGAUGUCUGUAGAUGUACAGUCAGCCAUCACUAUGGUAUAUUUCAUAUUGAAGUGAAGGUAGUUGUAACUCAUAACGACAAGCUGUCAGAUUGAAUCUGAGUAGCUGCUUGAUGCUUCUUUAUAAUGUAUGCAGCUAAUGUACAAAGUGAUGCAGUGUACGCACCAGCAGUCAAUAUCACAGGCUCUUAACCUUUAUAGCUUGUGACACCCAAAAAUAAAUGACUGCUAGUGGCUCCCAAAUAAGAAUACACACACACACAUAUGGGACCUAUAUGUUGUACCAAUAGUUUUAUCUUCCCCUGUGCACCGGUCCCUCUCAAUUUAUCAUUACAGGAUGCCUCACAGAUACAACUUUUAAUAACAAAACAUACCAUACAGAUGAAUUUAUGAAUGUAAUGCACUACAUAUUUAUAUUUACACUAUAUUAACAUCCCUUAACAUUCCUGUUGACCUUUGAGAAUGGUUCUAUAAGCUUAAUUUCUAAUUCAGACUGAAUUAGAAAUUGCCACUCCCACUCUAUUUGUUGGACUCCAGGAGCUAUGUAGUGAGACAACACAAUUUUUAUUUUUGUUGGACACAUUUAUCUUCAACAUCUUUCAUAUGCAUCUACUUUUUUUGCUAGAUUAUGUCUUAUAUUUUCCAGAAUGACUUGCGUCAACUCCCAGAGAAAAAAGGCUGCAUGCAGACUGCCAAUAUCCCUCCAUCAAACAAUGCAGCCCCUCCAUUCAUUUCAAUAAAUGAGGAGGCUUUGUGUUGGCACAGCAGUCCUGACGUAGAGGCUUUGGCAAAAAGUUGAUAAACUUUUGCCGCAACGCACUGUACUGGCCAACCACAUACUGUAUGUGCAGGGGCACUUUGUUAGUAUUAUAAUAUGAUACAAUGAUGUAAUUCUUUUUACCUUGCAAUCAGGGAUAAAAUGAUUGUUGAUGUGAGGCCCUUUCAGAGUUGUAAAAUCCUGUCUCAUUAUACACUGAGUUGUGUUUUGGCAUCUGAUAAGCCCUAAAACCCAUGGAUGUAUUACUAAAACUGGUCUUCCUGGAUAUUGUUUCAAACUUCUCAUGGGUACCUGGCUGAAGCAACAUGAUCACACCAAUGCAGGCCCUCACUUUUCAGGGGAGAACUGAUCUUUUCUACUUUUACAAUGUUUUUGUUUUCUCGUUAAGAUUGUUGAUUGUUGCUGUAACAUGAACAUGAAGGUCUUAUAUUUGAUAUUGAGGGACUGCCGAGACCGCAUGUGUAUAAUUGAUUGACAGAUUUAUGCUUAAUAAAGAAUUCCCCAGGUUUUUUAAAGGUUCAGGAGGUUUGAUUUCAAAACUUCAGUAAUGUAGUCAUGAUAUUGGUGGUUGCAGUUAACCUCCUGGCAUGAGUCCCCUCUCAUCUCUCCUGCAGCAGCCCUCCAAACAGUGAGUGUCUAAUGUUAUGCAGUUGAAUGAAAUUUCUCAUUGCAAUGAACAAUGUCUCAAUGUCUCUCAACCAUGUUACCAUGUCCUGUCAGCUGAAAAGAAAGCAAAGAUAGAUUUUUCCAAGAGAUGAUUCCUCUCUGGGAUGAAGUCAAAGCCUUUCUGCUCGCAGACAUAAAAACAACUUUAUACUGUGAAAACACCAAAGCAGAAAAAAUAAUAUGAACCUCAUGCACGUUUAAAGCCAGUAAAUAAGCUUCAGGUCAACACUUAGCUUAGGGCUGGUGUCAACAUCAGGAUUAUAAACGGGCUUAUGGUAACACACUAUAGUAUAUGGAGGUGCGCAUAUUCAACUGUAAGCUUUAGUGACAAGCUGUCAAAUUGAAUUACCUCUGUUGCUUUUUCAUUAUAUUUGAACAUAUACAUACACUCUCUCAAACACAGCACUAACCAAGUGGUGUAGAGGUCACUGUGUGUUUAUCAUGCAGAUGACAUGCAAACAUGACACUGAAUUUCUGACCAGCAGAAACCAAUACAGAAAGGCCUUAGGAUUACUUAAUGCUGGAGUUUUUGUGUUGAAGCAAAUACACAACUUCGCUAAAAGAUUCUUUCAAUAAUGAAUGUGCUAUAGCUUCUCUUAAUAUGUAUUUUGUGGCGGUUUAGUAGCAAUCUGGCAUCUAAACCAACACCAUUGUCAUCUCGCCAAGAUGGUGGCAAACAAUAAACCAAAAAUACAGGCUUUAAAAUGUUUUCUGCCAACUUUGUGCUAUAGGUGUUACCUUAAUGAAUGUUGAUGAAGGAUAGUUUUGCUAAGAAAAAUAAGGUGCAACACUAGUGCACAGAAGAUUUAUGACAUUUGCUAUGUUGGAUGUCUCAAGAUUUAUAGGUUUCUUGUUAACCUGCUUCCUGUUCAUUUACACUGAUUUAUUUCAUGCAACUGGCAUACAGGGCUAAUAUUUCCACACUCAUACUACCCACAGCCACCAACAAAGACAGCCACCAACAAACACACACACAGACACACACACACACACACACACACACACACACACACACAUGCACACACACACACAUAGAUGCAAACAAAAUUUCUCUCCCCUUUCUCUGCUUUCUCGCUGCAGCUGGGUCCGGUCCCCUCGGGGUUUUGAAAUAUAACACUAUCACCAUUUAUUACAAUCUUUCCUUCUCUCUUUCUCCUUCUCUGCUCCUCCGUUCUUUGUAUCUCUUAAAUUCCACUCUGUUUUAAAUCACACUGAAGUGGAGAGAACAAAAAAGACAUUUGCUGGGAGAUUUUGUCCAGUGGCCUUACAGGACAAUGAGCACAUACAGCCACACACAAGAAGCCAAUUCUUUUUCCAUGGGAGGUGAGGGUGCAUUUUAUGAUGAGGUAUAAAUAAAGCAGAAGUGAGAAAGUAUAAAGUAGCAGUACAGUUAAUUCCUGCCUUGCAUUGUGACCGACUUUUAGCAGUUUGAUCACAUCUCUUAAUUCAAAAUACUUUAUUUGUCCCUCAGGGGUACCCACACAAAAAGCAAUCUAAAAAGACAAAUAUGACAAUGUCAGAAGGAGCACCAAAAACACCACAAAGGCACAUAUUAUGUAAAAGUUGUCUAACAGCCACCAGGUACUAGACACAGUAACCAGCUGCACUCAUUUUAUACUGGGUGAAAGAACAACUGUGCAUGGAAUUUCUAUUAACUUUGAAAUUCCAAGCAAGCCUUCAAUUAGCAUUAAUAAUGUUUAAUCAAAGACACACACAGAGUUUAUGUCAAUGGCCUUAUGCUGUCUCAUGUUAUUACUGUCAAUAAUAAACGUUUUUGUUGUUGCAAUGAAAGCAGAAGUGAUCAUCACUGUGACUGGAUAGAGACCAGAAACUUACUCAUGAGUAAGAGAUGGAGCAUUAUUUUGUUACUAUAUUUGUUUUUUUAUAGGAUUUACUUGAUAAAUUAUCUGAAUGUAGUUUUUAUGUUAUAAAUAAGAAAAUCAUUAAUGGCAGUAACAUUAUACUGCAAUGUGAUAGCAAUAAUACAAUGCAGUUCAUUUUAUGUGUUCAAUGGCUGUGGAUAAUAUCACAUGGUUACAUGAAAGUUACAACUCUGCCAAAGAUUAUUAUAAAAUCUCCACUUUGUAUCCCAGACAUGAU
rnacentral:lncRNA from 15 species